rnacentral:sRNA from 1 species
AGGUGACUCAAGGGUGGUCGGUAUUCAUCCCCAACAGAAAGGGGGUGGUGCUGAUGACAGUAUACGAAGCAUUGAUGUUUGCAGUGGCUUUCGCAACACUGAUCAUAGCCAUACUGUCUUUUGACCAAAAAAAACAAUCCACCCUUGAGCUGACGACUCGCGGUGGAUUAUUUCUGCCCUUUGUCGAUCCCCCUUGCAGGGACCGUUCUAUUACCGACCGUAGAUGUUACAGCAUCU